rnacentral:rRNA from 1 species
GGUUAAGCGACUAAGCGUACACGGUGGAUGCCCUGGCAGUCAGAGGCGAUGAAGGACGUGCUAAUCUGCGAAAAGCGUCGGUAAGGUGAUAUGAACCGUUAUAGCCGGCGAUGUCCGAAUGGGGAAACCCAGUGUGAUUCGUCACACUAUCGUUAACUGAAUACAUAGGUUAACGAGGCGAACCGGGGGAACUGAAACAUCUAAGUACCCCGAGGAAAAGAAAUCAACCGAGAUUCCCCCAGUAGCGGCGAGCGAACGGGGAGCAGCCCAGAGUCUGAAUCAGCUUGUGUGUUAGUGGAACGGUCUGGAAAGUCCGACGGUACAGGGUGAUAGUCCCGUACACCAAAAUGCACAGGUUGUGAACUCGAAGAGUAGGGCGGGACACGUGGUAUCCUGUCUGAAUAUGGGGGGACCAUCCUCCAAGGCUAAAUACUCCUGACUGACCGAUAGUGAACCAGUACCGUGAGGGAAAGGCGAAAAGAACCCCGGCGAGGGGAGUGAAAAAGAACCUGAAACCGUGUACGUACAAGCAGUGGGAGCACCUUCGGGUGUGACUGCGUACCUUUUGUAUAAUGGGUCAGCGACUUAUAUUCUGUAGCAAGGUUAACCGUAUAGGGGAGCCGCAGGGAAACCGAGUCUUAACUGGGCGUUAAGUUGCAGGGUAUAGACCCGAAACCCGGUGAUCUAGCCAUGGGCAGGUUGAAGGUUGGGUAACACUAACUGGAGGACCGAACCGACUAAUGUUGAAAAAUUAGCGGAUGACUUGUGGCUGGGGGUGAAAGGCCAAUCAAACCGGGAGAUAGCUGGUUCUCCCCGAAAGCUAUUUAGGUAGCGCCUCGUGAACUCAUCUUCGGGGGUAGAGCACUGUUUCGGCUAGGGGGUCAUCCCGACUUACCAACCCGAUGCAAACUACGAAUACCGAAGAAUGUUAUCACGGGAGACACACGGCGGGUGCUAACGUCCGUCGUGAAGAGGGAAACAACCCAGACCGCCAGCUAAGGUCCCAAAGUCAUGGUUAAGUGGGAAACGAUGUGGGAAGGCACAGACAGCCAGGAUGUUGGCUUAGAAGCAGCCAUCAUUUAAAGAAAGCGUAAUAGCUCACUGGUCGAGUCGGCCUGCGCGGAAGAUGUAACGGGGCUAAACCAUGCACCGAAGCUGCGGCAGCGACACUAUGUGUUGUUGGGUAGGGGAGCGUUCUGUAAGCCUGCGAAGGUGACCUGUGAGGGUUGCUGGAGGUAUCAGAAGUGCGAAUGCUGACAUAAGUAACGAUAAAGCGGGUGAAAAGCCCGCUCGCCGGAAGACCAAGGGUUCCUGUCCAACGUUAAUCGGGGCAGGGUGAGUCGACCCCUAAGGCGAGGCCGAAAGGCGUAGUCGAUGGGAAACAGGUUAAUAUUCCUGUACUUGGUGUUACUGCGAAGGGGGGACGGAGAAGGCUAUGUUAGCCGGGCGACGGUUGUCCCGGUUUAAGCAUGUAGGCUGAUUGUCCAGGCAAAUCCGGAUAAUCAAGGCUGAGGUGUGAUGACGAGGCACUACGGUGCUGAAGUAACAAAUGCCCUGCUUCCAGGAAAAGCCUCUAAGCAUCAGGUAACAUCAAAUCGUACCCCAAACCGACACAGGUGGUCAGGUAGAGAAUACCAAGGCGCUUGAGAGAACUCGGGUGAAGGAACUAGGCAAAAUGGUGCCGUAACUUCGGGAGAAGGCACGCUGGUGUGUAGGUGAAGUCCCUGCGGAUGGAGCUGAGACCAGUCGAAGAUACCAGCUGGCUGCAACUGUUUAUUAAAAACACAGCACUGUGCAAACACGAAAGUGGACGUAUACGGUGUGACGCCUGCCCGGUGCCGGAAGGUUAAUUGAUGGGGUUAUCCGUAAGGAGAAGCUCUUGAUCGAAGCCCCGGUAAACGGCGGCCGUAACUAUAACGGUCCUAAGGUAGCGAAAUUCCUUGUCGGGUAAGUUCCGACCUGCACGAAUGGCGUAAUGAUGGCCAGGCUGUCUCCACCCGAGACUCAGUGAAAUUGAACUCGCUGUGAAGAUGCAGUGUACCCGCGGCAAGACGGAAAGACCCCGUGAACCUUUACUAUAGCUUGACACUGAACAUUGAGCCUUGAUGUGUAGGAUAGGUGGGAGGCUUUGAAGCGUGGACGCCAGUCUGCGUGGAGCCAACCUUGAAAUACCACCCUUUAAUGUUUGAUGUUCUAACGUUGGCCCCUUACCGGGGUUGCGGACAGUGUCUGGUGGGUAGUUUGACUGGGGCGGUCUCCUCCCAAAGCGUAACGGAGGAGCACGAAGGUUAGCUAAUCCUGGUCGGACAUCAGGAGGUUAGUGCAAUGGCAUAAGCUAGCUUGACUGCGAGCGUGACGGCGCGAGCAGGUGCGAAAGCAGGUCAUAGUGAUCCGGUGGUUCUGAAUGGAAGGGCCAUCGCUCAACGGAUAAAAGGUACUCCGGGGAUAACAGGCUGAUACCGCCCAAGAGUUCAUAUCGACGGCGGUGUUUGGCACCUCGAUGUCGGCUCAUCACAUCCUGGGGCUGAAGUAGGUCCCAAGGGUAUGGCUGUUCGCCAUUUAAAGUGGUACGCGAGCUGGGUUUAGAACGUCGUGAGACAGUUCGGUCCCUAUCUGCCGUGGGCGCUGGAGAAUUGAGGGGGGCUGCUCCUAGUACGAGAGGACCGGAGUGGACGCAUCACUGGUGUUCGGGUUGUCAUGCCAAUGGCACUGCCCGGUAGCUAAAUGCGGAAGAGAUAAGUGCUGAAAGCAUCUAAGCACGAAACUUGCCCCGAGAUGAGUUCUCCCUGAGACUUUAAGUCUCCUGAAGGAACGUUGAAGACGACGACGUUGAUAGGCCGGGUGUGUAAGCGCAGCGAUGCGUUGAGCUAACCGGUACUAAUGAACCGUGAGGCUUAACCUUACAACGCCGAAGAUGUUUUG